rnacentral:lncRNA from 10 species
CGCCUGAACCGCAGCAGCCAGGUGUUCCUCCAGAACCUCCUCCCACAGGAGCUUGCUACAAGUGCUGGAAAUCUGGCUACUGGGCAAAGGAAUGCCUGCAGCCCAGGAUUCUUCCUAAGCCACAUUCCAUCUGUGUGGGACCCCCCCUGAAAAUCUGACUGUUCAACUUACCUGGCAGCCACUCCAAGAGCUCCUGGGACUCUGGCCCAAGGCUCUCUGACUGACUCCUUCCCAGAUCUUCUCAGCUUAACGGCUGAAGACUGACACUGCCUGAUCGCCUCGGAAGCCCCCUAAACCAUCACGGAUGCCGAGUUUCAGGUAACUCUCACAGUGGAAGGGUAUUGUACGUGUCAUUCAGAAAUGUGUUCCUGCUCAUUCAGAGCUCUGAAAAAGAGUUGACAAACAUCAGAGGAGAAUUGUGGCUAACGCAGAAAUAAUAGGAAGAAAAAAAUCAAUGUAGAGAUGUAAUUGAAGGUAUGCUUGUGACUUGGCUUCACCCAUCCAAAAGCAACCCUGUAAACUGGAGUGCUGGCAAGAAUGGAAGAUUUGGUUUUUAAUGAGACUCUCUGCUGUGAUUCCCAUGAAGCAAUCAGAUAAGUCAACUUGCUGAGUAGACUCACUAUGCAAUACUUUAUUUAUAAUGCAUUAUAGUUACUUGAAGAUGCCUCUGCAUUCUUGACUUUUUAGGGAGUAGAAUGGACAUUUCUUCUUCAACUUUAUAUCCUUUAUGUAUCCAUUUACUUAGUUCCUAGUAUGUGGUAAGUACUCAAUAAAUAUUUACAGAAUUGAACCAAAGACUUCCAACUGUUUCUAAAACAAUCCAACUCUGUCAAAAUGUUAAGACUGUCUACUACUGAAAUUAUUAAAACAGAAAUGUCCUAGGCUUAGAGGCACUGAAAAGAAGGCUUUGAGUGGUUGAGAUAAUGGUGUAGCAUAGGUUAUUAUUUUUCAGAAAAUGAUGUGAAACUCAUGAAAAUAUCUGUCAUGGUGAUGAAAUUGUACACUAACCUGUUCAAAGCUUUUACUUAUUUAUCUGUAAAAUAAGUUAAUCAGUCAAUUCAAAUAAAUUCAAUGUAAUUUAAUCCAAUGCUUCUCAAUUCAGCAUUAACUGCUUUCUGGCUCCUUUACCAGAAUUUUGAAACUCUAUGCCUCCAGUUUAUAUUUGUUCCUCCAAAUAGAGGCAAGAUUGGGACCUCUCUCCUUUGCGGGUCCUCUCCGAUGGGCUCCUACAGAACUUUGCUUAUAUCUCUGUCCCUCAUUUAUUCACUCAUCUGCCUUCUUUUCACUUAAAAAUAAAGCCCAGGGUCUUCACUCUAUGAUUUCAAGUCCUAACCUACCUUUCCAACCCUCUCUCUUGUUCAUUCACCUUAAGGUCUUAGUGGAACAGAACUAUUUAUUGUUAUUCUAAUACAAUUUGUACAUUUAAUUUGUUCAUUCAUUCAUUCAUUCAGUCAGUCAUUGGAUUACAGUGAUACUUAUCCUAUCAUCCAGAUGAAUUAGCAACUGGUAGUGCAGAAGCUCCAGCAUGGUAACAUUUGACUGAGCUGAUAGGGUUUGCCUCCUUAAGGGAGCUGGGGUGGGGUCAUCUACUUUCCAGUUUGCAUUAAGCUUGUUUUAUCAUUUUCUUGAUUGUAUGAUUUAAUCUCUAACCAACUUUCCUUUUCCAUAGACCAGAUCAAAUAUAAGAUUAAAUUAUAUAAUGUAUAAAUCACCUAGCAUAUGUGAUUGACACAAAAGAAAUAUUAAUUAAUGUCUUUCUCUACCCAGAUGACACAUUUGUUAGAAAGAGAGAUGGGAUAAUAAAAUGAUCCCUUAACACCCACCUAGAGAUCUUUCUGUUCUGUCUUUGCCAUCCAUCUUUCAAUGAUUGAUCACUAUUGGUCAAUGACAAAUCCUGAUAUAUUAGGCAUUAACAAACUUCAGAAUUCGUCCAUAAUGAGAAUCACAGGGUUUCAGGACCACCUGAAUUUGGAAGACAGCUUACCUCCUACAUAGAGUGGAGAGUCAAAAUUCAGAGUGGACUGCUUUGACAAGUUAGUGAUGAUUUUGGGGUUCCCACCAUCCACGGACAAAGAGAGACUCUGAUCCAAGGCAAGUAGUUCCACAAUGUGGAAGUUUCCAUCAUUGAUUGUCUCCACACUACAACGGAAAAAAAAAUGGCUGAUUCUUCCAUUUUCUUUUCAUUAAAGCAAGGUAGUUAAAUUACAAACUUUGAUAAGUGCUCCUUGGGAAAAGAGAUGGCAAUCUAACACUAAUGAAGAUAAAGACGAGUAGUUGAAUUUUUUUUCAAAAAUAGGCAUUUUCAAGGAGAUGUGAUUGAUUUCAGUUUCUCAGGAACUGAAUACAAAAUAAGUUUGUUCUUUUAUGACAAGAAGUAGAAAUAACUACAUUUCAUCAUCAUCCAGCCACAUUCUCUCAAUAUGUAACAAUUUCAAAGGAUAAUUUAUACAUUUGCUUUUAACUUCCAUAAAAGGUCCAUUUACCAAGAUACUAUUACUUCAAAUUGUACGAAAAGACAAGGAAACUAGGCCUGUGCCAAAAACACCCUAACACAUCGACCUUAGGCAACUGCUGGCUUCUGCUCUUAAAAAAAACUGUAGAUUAGGACUUACCAGAAUCAAACACACACACAAAUGCAAGGAGAAACAACUUGGUGGGAUCUCAGUACUUUUUGAAAUUUGUUAAUAAUAUCCUCUUACUUUCUGUGCAUUUUCAUCAACUGAUAUUGCUGUGAAGAAGUUAUCUAUGCUCAGUGGAGACAUGGGAAUAACAGAUUAAAUAAAAUGCUUAACAUAGUGAUAUCUAGGAAAUAUUGCAAUGACAGUGGCUGUCUGGAUUCUUUUCUAUAAUUUUCAAGGGCCAGGUCUAACAAUUAUUACUGUCACCUUCUAAAAACCUUGGAAGGGCUUAUAGAAAUUGAUGAAGUGAAUAAAGACAAAAAGAUGAAGAAAGGUAAAUGGAAAAUGAGGAUUAAAAAAUAAGAUGAAGUUGAGUGCAAUUAGUAAAUAUGUUUUACAUGGUUUUAAAGUGUAGUUGCAUAUCUAACUCUGGUGUUACAGCAGGCAAAAAAGCAAACCAGACCAAUGAAACAGGACCAAAGAAGAAAUAGGACCAAUACACGGUGCAGUGUUAAGAACGUACUUACCUUUCCCUAUACAGGAAAAACAUGGCAUAAUGGAAGUUGAGAUCAAAAAGUUAAUGGUGAUUAUUAAAGAUCUAACAUGCUGGGAUACUGGGAAGACUGAAAAAGGCUCCAACAUGGAAACAUGGGAGCAUGUGAUAGAUUAUUCCUAAAUGUGAAUACUUAAUACUCUGUAUACAAGAUGACUGCUUAAAUUUCUAGGCACUGAUAUUUAAAUUUGUAAAAUGGCAAAGUCUAGGGAAUGAUAGAAAAAUGCAUUAACAUAUUUCUGCAUGGUUCUCACCACUGGAGUCUAAUCAUCUUCCGUUGUAUGCUGACAGGUAAUAAAACGUUUUUUUGAUUUGAGAACAAGAGAAAUCACUCUGCAGAAUUGUGAAAACACUUGACAUUCUUUCUGUUUAGGUGGUUAGAAGAGUCCACGUGUACAGGAAUCUUUGAUAGCCUGUCUCAGGAAACAACUUUAUAAAACUAAAUGUUAGAUAUGUCAAUCAAUAUUUUUGCCUUUUACACAUUUAAUUAUCCUAACACUUAACAUCAAUACAAUUGGCAGAGGAAAAAAUAGACCAGAAAAUUAUUUUAUAAGUAUAGUUGCACACCAUUAGUGGUUUUAAAUAUGACUCUCUUCUAAGAGGGUAUGCCAAGUAGUAACAUUGGCUAAUGGUUAAGCAUAUAGACUCUGUAGUCAGAUAAUCCUGGAUUCGAAUCGUGGUCCUGCAUUUAUUAAGUGUUUGUUUUAGAUAAGUUACUUUAUUACUAAUAUAUUUCAGUUUUCUCUUCAGUAAAUGCUAAUAAAUAUUUCUGCCUUCCAUGGUUAAUUUGAGGACUAUGUAAAAUGACUGAAAGAUACCCAGCAUAGCAAAAAUUAAUGUUAGAUAUUAGUAUCACCAUCACUAUCAUAUCGGUCCCCCACCCAACCACGAUCAUCAUGAUACAAAUAAUUCAAUACCAUUUCUGAAUCUUUUUUAGUAAAGAAUUUAGCUUUAUUUUAAAUAUUGAUUGUAAGAUAAUGUUAAAGGCUGGCAGAAAUAUAACAACUUCUUUGGGGGCACAUCUUGUUCAAGUUACUAAAAGUUUUAAAGUAAAACAUUAAAAUAAAGACAGACAUGGAGAGAGUAGAAGUGAAUUCCUUUUUACUUUGAGGUUAUACACAGCUUUCCAAGUAGUUUUAUAUGGAUGUCCUAUCAACAUCAACCUUAAUAAAUCUUAAUAAUGAGGCCCCCCAUUUCUCUUUAAAAUUGCAAAGAAAAGACCCAUAUAUUACCAAGGAAUGGAUUCUUGGUCACAUAUUGGUCUUAGUCAAUUCAGUCAUGUCAUCAUCAAUGAUGGUGUUUGAUGCAGUACAAUUGUGUGGUUUAAGUUAACACACUUUACAGUUUUAAACACCCUAAUGCAGUGUGUCAGAUGGGAACUUGGAGGUAGGUAGUUUCAUCAUCAACUCACUUUGCUUAUUGCUCCUUUAUUCCCUCCUCUGUUCCUUUUUACUCUUUUUUGGAGUACAUGUCUUAAACUCUUGCUAAUUGUAAGCUAAUUUAAAAUAUCAUCCAUGUAUUAUUUAUUUCUGAAAAUAUGUGGUAAGUAAAUACAAGAGAGAUGUAUUAGGAAUAACAUAUAUCAAUUGUUUUUAGCAAUACUCCUAGAUGAUAUCUAUAGAUAAUCAUUACACUUCAAGCAUGUUUAAGACAAGACCUCUGAAAAUUCAUUUCAUAAAACAUAGUUGGAAGUUUCAGUGGCAGUAUCGUCAAGGAUAAUGCUGAGAGAUAAAUCUUGCUCAGCUUGUCCUAGCUCUCAUUAGACAUGUCAUCUUUGGUUAGUGUGACCUUAGGUGAUUUUUCUUCCUUUUAAGAGAAGUGCAAAUAGGAAGAGCAAAGGAUUAUAUAUCACAUACUAAGGGCCAGGUACUAAGAACUUUACAAGUAUUACCUCAUGUAAGCUUCACAACAAGAGGUGAGCACUGAGGACAUCCAAGGUGACACAUCUAGUUAGUGGCUAAACAGUUCUGAAGCCAGGUUGUCCAGCUCAAGUGUAUGUGCUCUUAAUUAUUAUGCACUACUUUUACAAUCAAAAACCUGAGGAAUACCUAUUCCUAGACAAAUGGCGUGUGUUUUCACCACUAACAAGCUUUUAAUACAUGAUUUCUGUCCCAAAUAGCCUGGGAAUAAAGUUCUAUAGUAAAUUACCUUGUAUGAUAGCAAAACUUGAUUCAUUUACUAAAAAACACUGAAUUGUUAAUAAAAGUAAUGAUCUUACAAUAAGAGUUUGAAGAAUGCAUAUAAAUUAUAUGGAUUUAAAAACUGAGUUUGGAUUUUAUUUUCCCAAUUAUGAGUGAGAUUAUGAGUGAGAUAGACUGACUAUACUUUUCUCUCCCUAAAAGCUUUAAAUGUCUAAUCUGAUCACACCAGAACUUCCACAAGACUUAUCAUUGAGAUUAAUUCCAUUUAUAUCUCCCUGGAAUUAAAUGAAGCCUCAUCUUGACCUCUUAACAGGUGAUUCCAAUGCAGACUUUUGGAAACAACCAUUCUACACUACUGCCUGUAUGCUUGGUGCUGUUAACAGCAGGCAUGUCUACAAGAAGCCAUGAUCUUCUAUCCAGAUGUAACAGAUAAGAUGAGAAAAUAUGCAUACUACUUUAUUUCUACGCUAAAAGAAUAAUUACUACAUCUUGAGUUUUCUUAAACACACUUCAAGCUAUGUUAACUACUGUCUUUUAACUUUUAACAUAGUUGGCUGUGUUUUCAAAGAGGCUGUCUGGUUUGGAAAAUGACAUUAAUUUGAAUUUAAAGAAAGAAGCACAUAUUUUUCAUUAACUUUUGUAAAAAAUGUUUCCCCUUAUCUAGAUUAAAAGAAAGUCUUUUUGAAGGGCAGCAAAUUACCAGUCUAGAGAUAAUUUCAUAAAAUAAUUGUCUUCAUACUGAUUUAUGUGAAACAAUAGUUGACAUAUAAAAUAAAUUUUAACCAAAAAUACCCUAUAGAAUUAAUAAGUGUAUUAUUACUUUCCCCUCAUUUUAUUAGGUUUCAUUUUGCUAAAAUAAAAUCAAUUUUCUUCAAUGUGGAGAAUUAAGCAGGCAAUUGAAAUGAUGCACCUGAGGUAUAAAAUUAUUUCCAAGUGCAAGGCCCAAUAAUAUAUUAAAUAAUGCAAAAUUUGGAAAACAAUGUUUUACCAAAGUAAAUUUUAUAUAACAUAGAAUUAUGGCAAUAAAACUGAACUUAAGUGGAAACAAAUCAAAAUUUGAAAAUGUACUUCACCCAGACAAAAUAUUUAUUAGCAACUAAUGGGACAGCUGAUUGCAACACUGUUAUUGAUAGAUUUUACUACAGGGAUGGAGAAGUACUAUCUUUCAUCAAAGAUUUUACACUGUAGUAAAGGCCUGGCCCAGGACAGAGGUUGCCUUGCUUGGCAUUUUCUGGCAUUUGAAAAAAGGCCAAAAAAUUAGCCGUAUCAGAGCUAAGAGUUAUGUAAAACUGCAAAUUGAAGGUAAAGGAAAGGAGAGGAUUAAGAGUAGAUCCAUUGCACCUGUCAUGCCUUUCAAUGAAAGAAGGAAUGCAAUGGGAACACAGGUUUGGGUGAAGCAAAUGAAAUAAAUUCAGUUUUGGACAUCCUGAAUUUGUGAUACCAGUAGCCAUCAUUGUUUAUGGUUUACCUAGCAUUGUUGCAAAUAUUUUACAUUUAUCAUGUCGUACAAUUCUUACCGUAAUCUCACAAAAAGGACACUAUUAUUUGUUAUCCCCAUUUGCCAGAUGAGGCCCAGGGAGCUGAAGCAAUCUGUCCAAGACACACAGUUAGUUGAUAACAGAGCUGGACUUGAAUCAAGCCAGACUAUCUCUAGAACAGCAGCUUUUUCUAUUAUUUCAAUUUUAUUUUUGAGUGGUAAUGACAUUGAAAUGGCUCAAAAAUCAAAUGGAUAUAAAAUGGUAUUCAUGCAGAAGUCUUGUUUCUAUUUCUUUGUGUCUAGUUUUUCUUUGUGCAAAUACAUGAAAAUGUAAGUGCUUAUAUUUAUCUCCUUUGAACUUGUUCUUCCUUACAUUUCCUUCCUGUCUUCCUUCUUUUUUCUUCAUUGCUUCCUUUCUUUCUUCCUUUUUUCUUAUAUUAUUUUCUCAAUAUAAAAAUAAUAUUCUAUAUUUAAUAUGUUAAUAAAAUGUAUUAUACAUAUCUACAUAUCUGAAUUCUUGGUAAUUGUUGCCUCUUUUAUUAAAAAAUAAGGUCAUAGCUUUUCUGGAUUGGAAAAUCAAGAAAAUUUUUUUGGUCAUAAGCCAAAAGGCAAUAAUUAAAUUAAAGCUGUAUUUGCUCUAGGCCUCACAUUUUGUAUCUCUAUUAGAUGAUCCACCACCAGAAACAUGGGCUUGCAGCUUCUAAUAAAGAAUAUGAAAUGGACGGAUCACGAGGUUGGAGAUCGAGUCCAUCCUGGCUAACACGGUGAAACCACGUCUUUACUAAAAAUACAAAAAAGAUUAGCCAGGCAUAGUGGUGGGUGCCCGUAGUCCCAGCUACUUGGGAGGCCGAGGCAGGAGAAUGGCAUGAACCCAGGAGGCGGAGCUUGCAGUGAGCCAAGAUCGCACCACUGCACUCCAGCCUGGGUGACUGAGUGAGACUCUGUCUCCAAAAAAAAAAAAAAAAAAAAAA